UACGUAGGGUGCAAGCGUUGUCCGGAAUUAUUGGGCGUAAAGAGCUCGUAGGCGGUUUGUCGCGUCUGCUGUGAAAACGCGAGGCUCAACCUCGCGCCUGCAGUGGGUACGGGCAGACUAGAGUGCGGUAGGGGAGAUUGGAAUUCCUGGUGUAGCGGUGGAAUGCGCAGAUAUCAGGAGGAACACCGAUGGCGAAGGCAGAUCUCUGGGCCGUGAACUGACGCUGGAGGAGCGAAAGCGUGGGGAGCGAACAGG
rnacentral:rRNA from 1 species